UCCCCUCACUCCCGUCGGUCUCCCUCUCUCAAACCAUUUCCCAUUUUCUACAAAUCCCCAAAUCACAAAAUCCAAUUUUGGGAAAGAAGAACCCUAGGUCAAAUUCCCCAAUUUGAGGAUCCGCCUCCCUUCUCCCGCGAUUCAGCGCCGCUGUGGCGUCUCCGGCCUGAGGCAACCGCAGCUUAGUCCGCUUCAGAGACCAGCGCCGCCGCUGCCCUUUGGUGUCACCGCCACCAUCGGACAGCACUACCGCCGCUGUUCCUCGACUCGUCGCCGACUGAGAUGGCGUGGUCAGCUGCCGUCGCUGAUCUUCUACCAACGGCGGGACCUCCAUUACCGGCACCCUCGCGGCUUUACUGAUACGGCUCCACCCUUGGUCGGACAAAGAUGGUAGCAGGAGUGCAGGUUAACUGCACAAGGGAAAAUUGCAGGCUGACUUGCUCAUUUAGGAGAAAGCUGCAAGUCUCGGCUGCCACCUUGCUGUCUUGGGCCCGACAGGCUGUUCGGAGGGAUGCCCGGAAGUGCAUAUUUGUGUUCUUAAUUCCCAUCUCAUCGCUUCGUCUAAAUUAUUUGUAAUUAGUUAGUAACUUGACGUGUAUAUGAAAAGGUAUUCGAACACCUUUGUCUGGAAAUAAACUUUCGGUCCCUUUUUGUAAAUUUUCAUAAUUAUAUAAAAGUUGUUUUGGUUCGUUCGAUUCUUA